CUCGAACUGCAGGUUCUGGAUUGGACAAAACUCAACCGCCACUGCUUUCACACCAUCUACUCUUGGCCACUGCCCGUAUAUCCAAUACAACAGCAGCAAUCCAAGUUCUUACACUAAUAUUACAUGUGGCGAUUACCUCAGCUACAUUUGCCAGAGGCCAAUGAACGAUCCAACGUCAGCAGCCCGGGGUACCAUCACUACCAUGCCCAGCACUACGAAUCCCGUUCCUAGUACACCAGCUACCAAACCAUCCACGGGAACGAGAGCAACGGAUACAACGACGACAGUCCAGCAAACCGUGUCCAGUACUACGAGCAGCAUGCCAAGUGAAACGUCCGUCAAACCAUCCACGGAAACAGGAGCAACCAGUAAGGUAUCUGCUGCAAAUGGAUGCUCUACGUUGUCCCCACGGAGUUCCGAUGCAACACCUACAGCAAGCACAGUGCCGAAAACAGAAGAAACCGCGUCUGUAAGUAACCCAAACGUGAUGAAUGCAACAGGAACACUAAACAACGUGACAACUGGAACUGUAGGAAGUAGUUCGCACACCUCGACACCAAUGGCGAGCCGUACAUCAACAAGCCCAACAACAUCUCCACGGCCAU